CUAUUAAUAGAGAAGAUUCACUCUUAUCAUGUUACAUACACAGCUCACGUUACAGUCCAGAACAGUCCUUAAAGCACAGAGAAAAUUAUUUUGGAGACUGCAGGAGUCAAAGAGAAAGAAAAGCAAAGAAAGGGCAGUCAUAUUCUAUCCCAGAAUUCUACAGAUCUGGCCCAUACGUGCAAACUGUCCUGACUUCCAAUAAGAAGUCCCUAGCUCUAGAUAUCCUAACCUUAUUUUUACAAAUCUAAAUUUCAGUUCCCCAC